CUAUGAGUGAGUGAUGCGCCCAAUGCGUGCGUCCGCCGCCUCUGAAAGACUGACAGCGCUUUCCGCCAAUCACUACAGCUCCUGCUGUUCAGAAACAUUUCAAUCACCUGUAAGGGGUCCUUCAUGGAUAAUUUCUCUGCUUGAGUGCCCGCUGAUGGCCUGUCAGUCCUUUUUCAUCUCUGGUACCUGUGAGGUUCCAUUGUCCUGAGGCAGCCGAGGGUCCAUAGAGACAUCACUUUUUACAGGAACCCUGUGGGUAAUUGCAGGAUGUGGAGCCACCAGGAGAUCAGCAACGCUAGUUGUGUGGCUCUAUGGAUGGCAAUGCCAGUUGGUCGGUUCACCACUUUGGUCCAGAAAUAUUGCAACAACUGCUGCAUGGAUUGUUGUGAAAUUUGUUUCUGACUUUCACGGUGCCCAGAGGAUGAAUCCUCCCAAAAAUGACUUUGGUGAUCCCCUGACGUUUCUUCUAGCGCCAACAACAGUCUUCGCAGAUCCAUCAGCUCAUCGUUCCACGAACCCCUUCAGCCAUCAGCCCCAGCAGAGUCAUCAGCCACCACCACCACCACCAGUGUCUGGACUCCAUGGGGGGAUUUAUUCUGCUGCUGCUCAGGGCAGACGUUCUCCAUAACCAAAAUCUCUCUGCAGAGUCUAAGCGCCAAAGACUCUGUCAAGAUUAACAUCUCACAUCAUCUGUUUCAAUAAACUCUAUCUUUACUUCAUUCACUUGUCUCUCCUGAUUGAAAUAAUAACCAGGUUCAUCAGUGAUGACAGACGGACUGUAGCCUGUUGUGAAUGUUGGAGUGACCAAGUGCACAUAAAUAGCGUUUCCUACGUUAAUAUCUGUCAUAAACACUAAAUCUCCUCACAAAUAAUUAAAAUUACUAAUUGAAUUCCAGUUUUUAGCUCUGCAAGGUCUUGUGAGGUAUAUACAGCUAUCACUUUCAGUGCAUGCCCAGAGUAGAGCAGUAGCAGAAGUCAGAAACCCACAACAUAAACAUAAAUGGAUGAUACAUGACUUGUCUUCAAUAACUUCAUGAGUCACAAACCAUGGCAAGAACAAGCGUGUCCAAGCCGUGUUCAGCACUUUUUAGUGUCCUCUGGAAACACUUCCAUUGUC